rnacentral:tRNA from 1 species
AAUGUUUUAGGUUAAGUAAACCUGUAGCCUUCAAAGUUAUAAAUGGGAGAUAUCUCCCAAACAUUA